GCCAAGUGAAAAGGGGAAAAUCUAACCAACCCACAAAAGGCAAAAGAGAAAAAGAAAAACAAUAAACAGUACAACAAAAUAUAGAGUGGUUAAAAGUAAAAAUAAAAAAGAAAGGCUGAGGUUAAAAAGUAAAAGACACGAUUUGACUCAUUUUUAGGCACGUCUCUCUCAUUGUCCCUCACAUUACAAUCACCAUCCACCCAUUCACUGAUAAAUUCACCAUGUGA
rnacentral:lncRNA from 1 species